GUUUGACUCACAUGUGAAAGGAGGAAAGAGAGAAGAGAAAAGGAGAGGAAGAAAGGGAGAUGGAGCUUAAAUAUGGCUUCUAUUGCUGAGAUCCAGCCUCCUCCAAGCCUAAGUCCAAUUAGUUACCGAAAAAAAGCCCAAGUCUAAUUAAUGUCCUCUAUUACCUCAUUUUCUCUUUUGACGUCAUUUUGGCUGACAAAAG
rnacentral:lncRNA from 1 species